UUAAGUCAGUGGUCAAAGCCCAUCGCUCAACGAUGGAAUUGCCAUUGAUACUGGAGGCCUUGAGUUCAGUUGAGGUAGGCGGAAUUUAUGGUGUAGCGGUGAAAUGCAUAGAUACCAUAAAGAACACCGAUUGCGAAGGCAGCUUACUGGGCUUGAAUUGACGCUGAGGCACGAAAGCGUGGGGAGCGAACAGGAUUAGAUACCCUGGUAGUCCACACCGUAAACGAUGAAUG
rnacentral:rRNA from 1 species